CCUGGCUCAGAUUGAACGCUGGCGGCAGGCCUAACACAUGCAAGUCGAGCGGAAACGAGUUAUCUGAACCUUCGGGGAACGAUAACGGCGUCGAGCGGCGGACGGGUGAGUAAUGCCUAGGAAAUUGCCUUGAUGUGGGGGAUAACCAUUGGAAACGAUGGCUAAUACCGCAUAAUGCCUACGGGCCAAAGAGGGGGACCUUCGGGCCUCUCGCGUCAAGAUAUGCCUAGGUGGGAUUAGCUAGUUGGUGAGGUAAUGGCUCACCAAGGCGACGAUCCCUAGCUGGUCUGAGAGGAUGAUCAGCCACACUGGAACUGAGACACGGUCCAGACUCCUACGGGAGGCAGCAGUGGGGAAUAUUGCACAAUGGGCGAAAGCCUGAUGCAGCCAUGCCGCGUGUAUGAAGAAGGCCUUCGGGUUGUAAAGUACUUUCAGUUGUGAGGAAGGGGGUGUCGUUAAUAGCGGCAUCUCUUGACGUUAGCAACAGAAGAAGCACCGGCUAACUCCGUGC
rnacentral:rRNA from 1 species